rnacentral:rRNA from 1 species
GGCCUUUUAAGUUGGAUGUGAAAGCCUACGGCUUAACCGUAGAACUGCAUCCAAAACUAUUGGGCUAGAGUGUGGGAGAGGAAGAUGGAAUUAGUUGUGUAGGGGUAAAAUCCGUAGAGAUAACUAGGAAUACCAAAAGCGAAGGCAAUCUUCUGGAACACUACUGACGCUGAGGCGCGAAAGCGUGGGGAGCAAACAGGAUUAGAUACCCUGGUAGUCCACGCAGUAAACGAUGAAUGUUAGUCGUCGGGGCUCUCGUAGUUUCGGUGAUGCAGCUAACGCAUUAAACAUUCCGCCUGGGGAGUACGGUCGCAAGAUUAAAACUCAAAGGAAUAGACGGGGACCCGCACAAGUGGUGGAGCAUGUGGUUUAAUUCGAAGAUACGCGAAGAACCUUACCUGGCCUUGACAUUGAGAGAAUCCUUUAGAGAUAGAGGAGUGCCUUCGGGAGCUCGAAAACAGGUGCUGCACGGCUGUCGUCAGCUCGUGUCGUGAGAUGUUGGGUUAAGUCCCGCAACGAGCGCAACCCUCGUCACUAGUUACUAACGGUUCGGCCGAGGACUCUAGUGAGACUGCCUUCGCAAGGAGGAGGAAGGUGAGGACGACGUCAAGUCAUCAUGGCCCUUACGGCCAGGGCAACACACGUGCUACAAUGGUUAGGACAAUGAGAC